AAAAUGGUAUUUUUCUUCAGAUUUUGUAGCGUAAGACAUUUUUAAUAAAAAAAAAUAAAAGAAAAAAAUUUGAUUAAUUAAGAUGAAAGAAAGAGCAAAGAAGUUAGUUAGUUAGUUAAAAAUUGGUACAGUUGGAUUUCUGGUUUACUCUUCACGAGAAUUUCGGGAGAGUUUAUCACCUGAUUCAGUCAUCUCCUUCCACUUUUUCCCAACUGAUUUAUAUAUACACAUAUAUAUAUAUACAGAGAGAGAAAGUUGCAAUUUUGAUCUUUAAAAAUAAUAAAAAAUGCACGGUAGCAGUGGUGGUGGUAGUGGUAAUUCCUCAUCUUCUUCUUCACCAAGAACUUAUUCAGUGGAUCUUGUGAAAGAUCGAAAUGGAAUCGAACAAGUUCUUCUCAAGAAUCAUCGAGGGGCUUCUGUUCGUGUGAGUUUGCAUGGUGGUCAAGUUCGUUCGUGGAUGAAUGAGCGUGGACAUGAAAUGUUGUUCACUAGUAGUAAGGCAAUCUUUAAGCCCCCAAAACCGGUUAGAGGAGGAAUCCCAAUUUGCUUUCCACAGUUUGGAAGUAGUGGAACAUUGGAACAACAUGGAUUUGUGAGGAACAAGAUUUGGUCAAUUGAUAAUGAUCCACCACCUUUACCUCCUAAAGAUUCAAUUGGUAAAACAUUCAUUGAUUUGGUUUUCAAACCCACUGCUGAUGACAUGAAAAUCUGGCCUCACCGUUUCGAGAUUCGAUUGAGGGUGUGUUUGGGUUCAGAAGGGAAUCUAAUCUUGAUACCUCGAGUCAGAAAUCUUGAUACAAAGCCAUUCAGCUUCUCAUUUGCCUUUCAUACAUAUUUUGCCAUUUCAGAUAUCAAUGAAAUCAGAAUAGAAGGACUUGAGACACUUUAUUAUCUUGACAAUUUAAAAGAAAGAGAGUGUUUCACUGAGCAAUAUACUGCCAUAACAUUUGAAUCUGAGGUGGAUAGAAUUUAUGUUCGUGCUGAAAAUGUUGUAGCUAUCCUUGAUCAUGAGAGAAAAAAGUCUUUCAUCAUAAGAAGAGAGGGUCUUCCUGAUGUUGUGGUAUGGAAUCCAUGGGCAACAAAAGCAAAAGCCAUAGCAGAUUUUGGAGAUGAUGAGUACAAGAGAAUGGUUUGUGUGGAUGGUGCAGCUGUUGAAAGACCAAUCACUUUGAAGCCUUGUCAGGAAUGGACUGGAAGGUUGGAACUCACAAGAGUUAAUUCAUGUUUAGAUGACUUAUCAUUAUUAAGAUGAUGAUGAUGAUGAUGAUGAUGAUGAUGAUGAUGAUGAUGAUGAUGAUGAUGAUGAUGAUAACAAAAUUGAUUCAUGUUUAGGAAAUGUACAAGGAUAGAAAGAAAGAAAAUGAGAGUGAAAGGAAAGAUUGAGGGAAAUGCUAUCCCUUCAAUUUUCAAAUCCUCAAAAAUCAAUCCUUUCAAAGAGUGAAGGAUUUUAUUGGUUGCAAGGGAUCACGUCGGCAAGGUGAUCUGGGUUUCUACAAAAAGACUGGAUUUUUCUAAUGCUCUUUGUGGGGAAGCGGCGGCUUGCUGUUUGGCUAUAGAGGAGGCUAAAGCUCGUGGUAUUGAGUUCCUUAUUGUGGAGAGUAACUCGAGGGUGGUGAUCAACCUUCUCAAUGGGAAGGAGUCAUGUUGGGAGCUUGAUAACUAUGUCUCUUUUUGUAAAAAUACCUCCACCUCUUUUAUUGGUUGUACUUUUCAAUUUGUUCGUAGACAGUGUAAUUUUAUGGCCCAUAAUGUGGCUAACUGGGCAUUUUCCCAUCAGAGGUUUGACUCUGUGCCAAUUUCCUCUA